GGAAGGGAAGCCAAGAAGUUUUGCUGAGGGUUUCCCUACCCAGAAGCCUUGGGGGGAAAGAAGUCCUUCCUCCAUCUCUCUGGGUAUUCUCACAGCGUGUCGGUGAGGGAGUAUUUCUGGCCGCCCCAUCUCAAAAUGGAGAUAGUGGAACUGGAAAACGUCCAGAGAAAGGCAACAACAAUGAUCAAGGGGAUGGAACGGCUUCCAUAGGAGGAGAAACUAAAAAGAUUUAUAGAUCUCAAGGCAAGAAGAGACCAUUAGAUCACCCAGUCACACCUCCUGUAUAACACAGGCAGAGAACCUCACCCAUCUACCCCUGCACUGAGCCCAGCCAUAGCUCAAGCCGUGCUCUGGAUCUGAAGACAUCAAAAGGUGGAGAAUCUGCCACUUCCCUUGGUCGUUCGUUCCACUGGUUAAUCACUCC